rnacentral:rRNA from 1 species
UACGUAGGGGGCGAGCGUUGUCCGGAUUCAUUGGGCGUAAAGCGCGGGCAGGCGGCCCGCUCAGUCGGCCGUGAAAGCGCCGGGCUCAACUCGGCGAGGUCGGGCGAUACUGGCGGGCUCGAGGCUGGUAGAGGGCGGUGGAAUUCCGGGUGUAGUGGUGGAAUGCGUAGAGCUCCGGGGGGAACACCAGUGGCGAAGGCGGCCGCCUGGGCC